GAUCAUGGCUCAGAUUGAACGCUGGCGGCAGGCCUAACACAUGCAAGUCGAACGGUAACAGGAAACAGCUUGCUGUUUCGCUGACGAGUGGCGGACGGGUGAGUAAUGUCUGGGAAACUGCCUGAUGGAGGGGGGAUAACUACUGGAAACGGUAGCUAAUACCGCAUAACGUCGCAAGACCAAAGAGGGGGGACUUUCGGGCCUCUUGCCAUCGGAUGUGCCCAGAUGGGAUUAGCUUGUUGGG
rnacentral:rRNA from 1 species